rnacentral:tRNA from 1 species
GGAGAGCUGCCCGAGCGGCCUAAGGGAACAGUCUUGAAAACUGUCGUCACGGGGAACCGUGACCGAGGGUUCGAAUCCCUCGCUCUCCG